rnacentral:pre_miRNA from 1 species
UGAUGGCGAGUUUUACAGCGCGCGAACAUAGGAAAAAUGGGACAUUUUUCCUAUGUUCGCGCGCUGUAAAACUCGCCAUC